ensembl:lncRNA
CAUUUUGCGAAAUUCCAUACUUUGCACAGUUUACAUAGUAUAUACUAUGGGAAUAGUAAGAGUAGUUUGCUAAAAUGCUAUUCCAAAUAAAUCCAUGGGAAUGAAAUGUGUGCAUGUUUGCGAGAGAAAGGAAGCAAUCAGGGUGUGAAGAUUCAAAUAGAUGGAUCCCAUAAAAUUUCCCAUUCACCAUGUCCUCCCGGUUCUCAGUUGAAACCGCCUGGGCUCCCCCUCCCCUCCCCUCCUCUCCUCUUACUUUUUUUUUUUUUACAGUGCUGCAGCAUUUGCUGAUUGAUGAGGGGGUGCAAUUGGACUCAUCCAUCAUGACUUGGCCAGGUUAGGUAUCCUUCUCUCACUCACCCUCUUUCAUUCUCUCUCCUGCUUACAGCCACACGUCUUGAUUGAACCUCAGAAGAAGCGGAUGUCAAACUUUUCGCCUCUUGUCUGUUCGCCUGCUACAUCACGGCAUCUAUCACCAGACCUUCAACUCAAAAAUGAAAUCGUUGAACAUAAAAUACUGUCCAUCAAACCAUAGUCCAUGUGGUAACCACAUGACCCUCUACAUCAACCUAAAGCAGCAGGAAGACAAGGGCGUGAUAUAUAGAAGAGGUCGAGAUGGAGAACACCUCCAUAAUAAAGGCACACGAAAAAAGGAUACAGGAACACUCCUAGAAAAAGAUGACCCAGCUCCCCCUUCCACGCCUGACGUUAACAAAGGCAACGGCAUUAUGGGAUAUAUGGGCCAGACAACGUAAAAAACCUCAGCCUGGUUUUCUCAUUCCCAUCACCUUCUGCUGUCUCAGGAGGAAAGAGGUGCUGGUUUUACCCCCGUGUGAUGAAUGACCAUCGCUCUCAAUUUCUGCCCACGCAUCACCUCUCAGUCACUUGGCGUCAGACCAUCACGCGGCUGGCAAUGAAGACACCUGGGGUGGUGAUAGACGGAGAGGUGUGAGCCGAGAGGAGGUUGCUUGGUCAAUAAAUUAAUCUGUCACUUUAUUCUCCUCA